rnacentral:lncRNA from 1 species
GUCUGGAUUCAAUGUAUAAAAUAAAUAACCGCUGUUGGGAUGGCGCCUAAAUAUGUCUGCUCCUGGCACUCCUGUGAACAUGUUAGUAGGACGGCAAAUGUAAGCAAUAAGGAAAACAAUUAAUGCAAUUUUUUUUCCGCAUACAUUGAGAAUUUCAGCGUUUCAUCUCUGUAUUCAUAAUAUUGAACAGUCACUAGGGUGUGUAAAACGAAGCUAUUAGGCCGCAUCAUCCAAGUGCAUGUACCAACACUGACA